rnacentral:lncRNA from 1 species
GAUUGACCUUGAGAAGCUGCUUCUAAGGAGCUGGAGGAACAUGGGUAUGGUGUUGAUGGACUGAGUAUUGGAAAAGGACAAUUGCAAGGAGCAGCUUCAUCAACAUUUUACUCUGGGCAACAGAUCUGAUGGGAGCCAUGCAAUCUCUUUCCUUGUCAUGAGCUCACAUGCUGGGCAAGAGAGCCCAGCUCAGUGUGGUCCAGAUGCUGAAAGGAGAACAGGAGACUGUACUGGGGACAGUGACCCAACAGGUGCGUGCUCCUCUGGUCAAUCUGCCUGGUCUCUUCUCUGGAGAUACUGCUUCUGGCUCCAAGAGGAGAGGAGAUCUCUUUCUUUCCUUCUCAUCCUUCCCACCACUCUAAAAAUCUAGAAGAGCAGUCAUCUGCAUUCUGCAUUCAUCUCAGUGUCGAGAGGAAAAAACAUUGCAACGAUUUUUCUGGAUUGGAAAAAACUCUUUCUCCCUACUUGGAUGGUAAAGCUGCUGUUACCAAGUGCCUAUGCUACUGCCAGCAAUAUGUCUCAGCCAGGGGCACAGGUUGCUCAGUUUUCAUCAAAGCAGCAGAGGGAAAUGGCUAUGUGGAGCAUGCUUUGCAGUUGCCUGCUGAAACCUCUGAGACUGGCUCUGAAUUUCCUGCUUUGAAACGUUUUGCUGCCAUAGUGCAACGGUUCAUGAAGCACAAUAACACUUCUCUUCUGGCCUCCAGGACACUCUCUCAUAUGGGCAGGAUGUGGCUCCCUGUGUUCCGUCUCCUCCUAGUUAUUUGUUUGUGUAAUGAAAUCUUCCACACUGACAUAGCAUUCUUGCAUGCUUUUAUAUAAGACAAACUACUUGUUUGAAAUAUCAUCAGUCCCUUGAAUUGCAAUGUAUAUGCUCUCCUUGUGUCUUUGUUGGUACUGCCUCUGCAAUACCAUAAAACAUUUAGAGAGGUGUUAUUCUGCUAAUGUGUACUGCAGUUGUGGCUGGAGCUGGGUUACAUUUUUCUGUAGUAAUUAACUGAGAAUUUUAGUUUGUACAUAGUGGUGGAUUAAACGGGAUGAUCAAAACGGGGGUCUCAUCUCAUAUGACCAAAUGCUUAGCAUUCAUGUUGGAGGUUGCUCCUCGUAGCAGAGUACUCUGAAUAGCUCAUGAAUCAAGCCUUGAAACUAGUUCGCAUUAGCAAACUGUCUGUAGGCCCUGCAGCAGCUCCAGAUCUGCUCCAAGAGCAGCCCAGCUACCCCUGAGGGCAGCACCCCUUCUAGAAAGGAUAAGGCAGAUGACAGAGCAUAAUGCAUGUUUCACGUGUCUGACUUCAAUACCCUACCAUGUGUGAGUAAGAACCCUUAGAUAUUUUACGGGGAGGAAAAAAAAAAAAAAGACAAUUAUUUAUGUACCAAAUAGCUACUAGAAGGGCUUUUGUUAUUCUGACUGAGUACAAUGUAUGUGAAAAGCAGAAAGAAUCAGCAUGAGAAAAAGAUACUAGAGACCAGCAUAGGUGAGCAGGAGAUGAAAGAAAGAAAAAGAUGAAGGCGGUAAAGGUGAGGCGGAAUGAGGCAGUAGCUACGAUGUCCUCUGCAAGUAUAUGUGAACCUGGUCUGUGUUCCAAAUCCUCUGGCUCGGUAGGACACUACUAAAGGUUGUUGUUUUUUUAACGCAGUCAAAAGUCUAUCAUUUGGAGAAGAGGUUGAUGCAUUUUGCCACCUCUGAACAAGCAUAAGCAGAAGUCAUCCUCUGUCAGUAGAAGUGAGCAAAAAUAACCUCUCAUGAGUGGUGGUUAAACGUCUUAGUC